UGAAUACGAGAUGCUACGGCGUCGAAGCAGUGUAUGUCAGACUUCCAAGAAAAGCUCGCAAUGUCAUAAAUAAAGAAUGCCUGUACCAUAACCGACACAGGUGGGUAGGUAGAGUAUACUAAGGGGCGCGAGAUAACUCUCUCUAAGGAACUCGGCAAAAUAACUCCGUAACUUCGGGAGAAGGAGUGCCUUCUUUAAGAAGGUUGCAAUAACAAGAUCCAAGCAACUGUUUAUCAAAAACACAGGUCUCCGCUAAGUCGUAAGACGAUGUAUGGGGGCUGACGCCUGCCCAGUGCCAGAAGGUUAAAGAAGUUGGUUAGCUUUUGCGAAGCUGAUGACUGAAGCCCUGGUGAACGGCGGCCGUAACUAUAACGGUCCUAAGGUAGCGAAAUUCCUUGUCGGGUAAGUUCCGACCCGCACGAAAGGCGUAAUGAUUUGGAUACUGUCUCGGAGAGGGACUCGGUGAAAUAGACUUGUCUGUGAAGAUGCGGACUACCUGCACCAGGACAGAAAGACCCUAUGAAGCUUUACUGUAACUUGAAAUUGAAAUUGGACUUUAUUUGCGCAGUAUAGGUGGAAGGCGUUGAAAGUAAUCUUGCGGGAUUAGUGGAGCCAUCAGUGAGAUACCACUCCUAUAAUGUUAGAUUUCUAACUUUGGAUCAUGAUCUGGUCAAAGAACAGUUUCAGGCGGGCAGUUUGACUGGGGCGGUCGCCUCCCAAAUGGUAACGGAGGCGUACAAAGGUUUCCUCUGAACGGGUAGAAAUCGUAUCUAGAGUGUAAAGGCAUAAGGAAGCUUGACUGUGAGACCUACAAGUCGAGCAGGGACGAAAGUCGGUCUUAGUGAUCUGACGGUGCUGAGUGGAAAGGCCGUCACUCAACGGAUAAAAGUUACUCUAGGAUAACAGGCUGAUCUCCCCCAAGAGUUCACAUCGACGGGGAGGUUUGGCACCUGGAUGUCGGCUCAUCGCAUCCUGGGGCGGUAGUACGUCCCAAGGGUUGGGCUGUUCGCCCAUGAAAGCGGUACGCGAGCUGGGUUCAGAACGUCGUGAGACAGUUCGGUCCAUAUCCGGUGUAGGCGUUAGAAUAUUGAGAGGAGCCUUCUUUAGUACGAGAGGACCGAGAAGGACAUACCUCUGGUGUACCAGUUAUCGUGCCAACGGUAAACGCUGGGUAGCUAUGUAUGGAGAGGAUAACCGCUGAAAGCAUCUAAGUGGGAAGCCCACCUCAAGAUGAG
rnacentral:rRNA from 1 species